GGAGACUGUAGCUCAGCGGUAGAGCAUCUGCUUCGUAUGCAUAAGGUCCCAAGUUCAAUCCCCGGCAUCUCCA